rnacentral:tRNA from 1 species
GCCAUCUUAGCACAGCUGGCAGCGCGUCAGUCUCGUAAUCUGGAGGUCCUGAGCUCGAACCUCAGAGACAUCA